rnacentral:rRNA from 1 species
ACUCCGUAGUUAAGCGUGCUUGGUUGAUAAUAGUACUAGGACGGGUGACCUCCUGGGAAGUCCUCGUGUUGCACUCC